GCUCGUAGUUGGAUUUCGGGUGGGGCCUGCCGGUCCGCCGUUUCGGUGUGCACUGGCAGGGCCCACCUUGUUGCCGGGGACGGGCUCCUGGGCUUCACUGUCCGGGACUCGGAGUCGGCGCUGUUACUCUGAGUAAAUUAGAGUGUUCAAAGCAGGCCUACGCUCUGAAUACAUUAGCAUGGAAUAACACGAUAGGACUCUGGCCUAUCCUGUUGGUCUGUAGGACCGGAGUAAUGAUUAAGAGGGACAGUCGGGGGCAUUCGUAUUUCAUUGUCAGAGGUGAAAUUCUUGGAUUUAUGAAAGACGAACUACU
rnacentral:rRNA from 1 species